rnacentral:rRNA from 1 species
CCUACGGGUGGCUGCAGUGAGGAAUCUUGGUCAAUGGGCGCAAGCCUGAACCAGCCAAGUCGCGUGAGUGAUGACGGUCCUAUGGAUUGUAAACCUCUUUUGUCGGGGAGCAAGGCCCGCCACGUGUGGCGGGAAGGAGAGUACCCGAAGAAAAAGCAUCGGCUAACUCCGUGCCAGCAGCCGCGGUAAUACGGAGGAUGCGAGCGUUAUCCGGAUUUAUUGGGUUUACAGGGUGCGCAGGCGGGAGAUCAAGUCAGCGGUAAAAUGUCGGGGCUCAACCCCGGCCGGCCGUUGAAACUGGUUUGCUAGAGUUGGAGAGAAGUAUGUGGAAUUCGUGGUGUAGCGGUGAAAUGCAUAGAUAUCACGAAGAACUCCGAUUGCGAAGGCAGCAUACCGGCUCCAUACUGACGCUGAGGCACGAAAGCGUGGGGAUCGAACAGGAUUAGAUACCCCUGUAGUC